rnacentral:lncRNA from 10 species
GCCGGGUGUAUGUCCCCUCAGCGGUCCAGCAUGUAGGUUGUGUGGUGUUGCUUUUCGAGGUGGUUUGUGAUGCUUGACAUACAGCUCCUAAAGCCUUGGAAUCUGUGGAGUGACAACAUCUUUUGUGUGCUAAUGAGAUGACUGGGGGCUGGGGACGCCUGGACAGCCUCAGGAUGGAGCAGGUCACCAGAGGAACCAGCCAUGUGCAUAGAGGGUUGGAACUUGUGGUCCCAUCCCCAACCUCUAGGGAGGGGAGAAGGCUGAAGGUCAAGUUGAUCACCAGUGGACAGUGAUUUAACAAAUCAUGCCUACAUGAUAGCCUCCAU